GAUGAACGCUAGCUACAGGCUUAACACAUGCAAGUCGAGGGACCGGCGCACGGGUGAGUAACACGUAUCCAACCUGCCCUUUACUCGGGGAUAGCCUUUCGAAAGAAAGAUUAAUACCCGAUGUAAAGGAUGGGGAUGCGUUCCAUUAGGUUGUUAGUGAGGUAAUGGCUCACCAAGCCGUCGAUGGAUAGGGGUUCUGAGAGUAAGGUCCCCGACAUUGGAACUGAGACACGGUCCAAACGCCUACGGGAGGCAGCAGUGAGGAAGAUUGGUCAAGGGGCGUUAGCCUGAACCAGCCAAGUAGCGUGAAGGAUGAAGGCUUAUGGGGCGUAAACUUCUUUUAUAGAAGAAUAUGUAUUAUAUGAAUAAGGAUCGGCUAACUCCGUGCCAGCAGCCGCGGUAAUAC
rnacentral:rRNA from 1 species